UACAGGGGGGGCAAGCGUUGUUCGGAAUUACUGGGCGUAAAGGGCUCGUAGGCGGCCAACUAAGACGGACGUGAAAUCUCCAGGCUCAACCUGGGAACUGCGUCCGAUACUGGAUGGCUUGAAUCCGGGAGAGGGAUGCAGAAUUCCAGGUGUAGCGGUGAAAUGCGUAGAUAUCUGGAGGAAUACCGGUGGCGAAGGCGGCAUCCUGGACCGGCAUUGACGCUGAGGAGCGAAAGCCAGGGGAGCAAACGGG
rnacentral:rRNA from 1 species